CCUCCUCCUGGGCCCGCUCCCAGGCCUUGGCGAUCUCGACGCUGUAGGCCCAGUACGCGGGGACGCCCGGUUCGGCGCCGCCGAGCAGGCC
rnacentral:tRNA from 1 species